GAUGAACGCUGGCGGCGUGCCUAAUACAUGCAAGUCGAGCGAACAGACGAGGCGCUUGCUCCUCUGACGUUAGCGGCGGACGGGUGAGUAACACGUGUAUAACCUACCUAUAAGACUGGGAUAACUUCGGGAAACCGGAGCUAAUACCGGAUAAUAUAUUGAACCGCAUGGUUCAAUAGUGAAAGACGGUUUUGCUGUCACUUAUAGAUGGAUCCGCGCCGCAUUAGCUAGUUGGUAAGGUAACGGCUUACCAAGGCAACGAUGCGUAGCCGACCUGAGAGGGUGAUCGGCCACCCUGGAACUGAGACACGGUCCAGACUCCUACGGGAGGCAGCAGUAGGGAAUCUUCCGCAAUGGGCGAAAGCCUGACGGAGCAACGCCGCGUGAGUGAUGAAGGUCUUCGGAUCGUAAAACUCUGUUAUUAGGGAAGAACAAAUGUGUAAGUAACUAUGCACGUCUUGACGGUACCUAAUCAGAAAGCCACGGCUAACUACGUG
rnacentral:rRNA from 1 species